AGUGAACGCUGGCGGUAGGCCUAACACAUGCAAGUCGAACGGCAGCACAGUAAGAGCUUGCUCUUACGGGUGGCGAGUGGCGGACGGGUGAGGAAUACAUCGGAAUCUACUUUUUCGUGGGGGAUAACGUAGGGAAACUUACGCUAAUACCGCAUACGACCUACGGGUGAAAGCAGGGGAUCUUCGGACCUUGCGCGAUUGAAUGAGCCGAUGUCGGAUUAGCUAGUUGGCGGGGUAAAGGCCCACCAAGGCGACGAUCCGUAGCUGGUCUUAGAGGAUGAUCAGCCACACUGGAACUGAGACACGGUCCAGACUCCUACGGGAGGCAGCAGUGGGGAAUAUUGGACAAUGGGCGCAAGCCUGAUCCAGCCAUACCGCGUGGGUGAAGAAGGCCUUCGGGUUGUAAAGCCCUUUUGUUGGGAAAGAAAAGCAGCAGGUUAAUACCCCGCUGUUCUGACGGUACCCAAAGAAUAAGCACCGGCCAACUUCGUG
rnacentral:rRNA from 1 species